rnacentral:rRNA from 1 species
GCGCACCAGGCGAGAAUACUUUACAAUGUGCGAAAGCACGAUAAGGGAACUCUGAGUGCCUCCUAAGGAGGCUGUUCAGGUGUCUAAAAAGCACCUGGAGUAAGGGCUGGGUAAGACCGGUGCCAGCCGCCGCGGUAACACCGGCAGCCCAGGUGGUAGCCACUUUUAUUGGGUCUAAAGCGUCCGUAGCCGGUUGAGUAAGUUCCUUGGGAAAUUUGGCUGCUCAACAGUCAAGCUUCCAGGGAAUACUGCUCGACUUGGGACUGGGAGAGGUCAGAGGUACUCCAGGGGUAGGGGUGAAAUCCAUUAAUCCCUGGGGGACCACCGGUAGCGAAGGCGUCUGACCAGACCAGGUCCGACGGUGAGGGACGAAGGCUAGGGGCGCGAACCGGAUUAGAUACCCGUGUAGU